UGAGAUUAGAUACUGUAACGAUUGUAGAAGCCCAAUUUUGCCCGGGCCCAAUCAAAAAACCAAACCAAAUAUAAAAAUAAAAAAUAAAUCUGGCCCAAACUUACAAACCCAAAUGACCCAAAAAAUAAAAAACCCUUAUGGCCCAGUGGCCCACAACCUAAACUGUUUAAAAAAAAUAGAAACCCUAGUGCCCCUUGCGCCGCUCCUCGUGCCACGUCAGCACACUUACGCCUUGAGAUUUGCCAUCGUCAAUGCCUCUGCCACCUUUGACUUAACCACCACCUGCAAAGAAGAAGUAACAUGCAAGAAUAUCAAACACG
rnacentral:lncRNA from 1 species